rnacentral:rRNA from 1 species
CCCUUAGAUGUUCUGGGCCGCACGCGCGCUACAAUGAUGAAUUCAACGAGUUUAUAACCUUGGUUGAAAAGCCUGGGUAAUCUUUUGAACUUUCGUCGUGAUGGGGCUAGACCCUUGCAAUUAUUGGUCUCCAACGAGGAAUUCCUAGUAAACGCAAGUCAUCAGCUUGCAUUGAUUACGUCCCUGCCCUUUGUACACACCGCCCGUCGCACCUACCGAUUGAAUGGUCCGGUGAAAUCUUCGGAUUGAGACUUUGAUUUCUUCACGGAAAACGCUGUUUUAAAAAGUUGAUUAAACCGUACCAUUUAGAGGAAGGUGAAGUCGUAACA